GACGAACGCUGGCGGCGUGCCUAACACAUGCAAGUCGAGCGAACGGACGCGGCGCUUGCUGCGCUGAUGUUAGCGGAGGGCGGGUGAGUAACGCGUGGAUACCCUACUUAUAAUACGGGGAUAACUUCGGGAAACGGGAGCUUAUACCGGAUAAUAUUUUGAACCGCAUGGUGCAAAGGAGAAUGUCGGUCGUGGGGGCACGAAUAGAGGCUUCCGAGCUGCAUGAGCUAGUUGGUACGGUAAAGGCUUACGAAGGCAACGAUGCAUAGCCGAGCGGACGGGGGGGUCGGCCGCAUUGGAGGUGAGACACGGUCCAGGCUCCUACGGGAGGCAGCAGUAGGGAAUCUUAGGCAAUGGGCGAAAGCCUGACGGAGCAACGCGGCGUGAGUGAUGAAGGUCUUCGGAUCGUAAAACUCUGUUAUUAGGGAAGAACAUAUGUGUAAGUAACUGUGCACAUCUUGACGGUACCUAGUCAGAAAGCCACGGCUAACUACGUG
rnacentral:rRNA from 1 species